GUGCUCACUGUGACAGCACAUAGACUAAAAUUGGAACCACACAGAGUAGAUUAGCAUGGCCCCUGUACAAGGAUGAUACAAAUUCAUGAAGCAUUCCAUAUUUUA